rnacentral:rRNA from 1 species
CCUACGGAGGCUGCAGUGAGGAAUAUUUGUCAAUGGGCGUAAGCCUGAACCAGCCAAGUCGCGUGAGGGAUGAAGGUUCUUUGGAUCUUAAACCUCUUUUAUAAGGGAAUAAAGUGUGGGACGUGUCCUAUUUUGUAUGUACCUUAUGAAUAAGGAUCGGCUAACUCCGUGCCAGCAGCCGCGGUAAUACGGAGGAUCCGAGCGUUAUCCGGAUUUAUUGGGUUUAAAGGGUGCGUAGGCGGCCUUUGAAGUCAGCGGGGAAAGUCUGUGGCUCAACCAUAGAAUUGCCGUUGAAACUGGGGGGCUUGAGUAUGUUUGAGGCAGGCGGAAUGCGUGGUGUAGCGGUGAAAUGCUUAGAUAUCACGCAGAACCCCGAUUGCGAAGGCAGCCUGCCAAGCCAUGACUGACGCUGAUGCACGAAAGCGUGGGGAGCAAACAGGAUUAGAUACCCUUGUAGUC